AUUGAACGCUGGCGGCAGGCCUAACACAUGCAAGUCGAGCGGAGCGGCGGACGGGAGAGUAAUGCCUAGGAAUCUGCCUGGUAGUGGGGGAUAACGUCCGGAAACGGGCGUUAAUAUAGCCUACUAUCAGAUGAGCCUAGGACGGAUUAGCUAGUUGGUGGGGUAAAGGCCAACAAAGGCGACGAUCCGUAACUGGUCUGAGUGGAUGAUCAGCCACACUGGAACGGAGACACGGUCCAGACUCCUACGGGAGGCAGCAGGUGGGAAUAUUGGACAAUGGGCGAAAGCCUGCUCCAGCCAUGUCGCGUGUGUGAAGAAGGUCUGCGGGUUGUAAAGCACUUUAAGUUGGGAGGCGUUACCAACAGAAUAAGCACCGGCUAACUUCGUGCCAGCAGCCGCGGUAAUUC
rnacentral:rRNA from 1 species